AUGAACGCUGGCGGCGUGCCUCAUACAUGCAAGUCGAGCGAACAGACGAGGAGCUUGCUCCUCUGACGUUAGCGGCGGACGGGUGAGUAACACGUGGAUAACCUACCUAUAAGACUGGGAUAACUUCGGGAAACCGGAGCUAAUACCGGAUAAUAUAUUGAACCGCAUGGUUCAAUAGUGAAAGACGGUUUUGCUGUCACUUAUAGAUGGAUCCGCGCCGCAUUAGCUAGUUGGUAAGGUAACGGCUUACCAAGGCAACGAUGCGUAGCCGACCUGAGAGGGUGAUCGGCCACACUGGAACUGAGACACGGUCCAGACUCCUACGGGAGGCAGCAGUAGGGAAUCUUCCGCAAUGGGCGAAAGCUUGACGGAGCAACGCCGCGUGAGUGAUGAAGGUCUUCGGAUCGUAAAACUCUGUUAUUAGGGAAGAACAAAUGUGCAAGUAACUAUGCACGUCUUGACGGUACCUAAUCAGAAAGCCACGGCUAACUACGUG
rnacentral:rRNA from 1 species